UCUAUGUCUGUCUUUUUGCUGAUUCCACGCUAUCUUGGUAACUGUAGCUUUAUAUUAAGUCUUGAACUCAGGUAGUUUGAGUCAAAAUACAUUUUUUUUCAAAAUUGUUUUGGCUAGUCUAUUUCCUUUGCCUUUCCUUAUAAAUCUUAGAAUCAGCUUAUUGAUUUCUACAAAAAAAGUCCUCAGAGAUUUUGAUUGGAAUCAUGUUGAACCUGUAGAUCUGUUUGGGGAGAAUUGAGAUUAUAACAAUAUUGAGUCUUC
rnacentral:lncRNA from 10 species